GGGGGAAUAUUGCACAAUGGGGGAAACCCUGAUGCAGCAACGCCGCGUGAAGGAUGAAGGUUUUCGGAUCGUAAACUUCUAUCAACAGGGACGAAACAAAUGACGGUACCUGAAUAAGAAGCCCCGGCUAACUACGUGCCAGCAGCCGCGGUAAUACGUAGGGGGCAAGCGUUAUCCGGAAUUACUGGGUGUAAAGGGAGCGUAGGCGGCACGUCAAGCCAGAUGUGAAAGCCCGGGGCUUAACCCCGUGGAUUGCAUUUGGAACUGGCGAGCUAGAGUACAGGAGAGGAAAGCGGAAUUCCUAGUGUAGCGGUGAAAUGCGUAGAUAUUAGGAAGAACACCAGUGGCGAAGGCGGCUUUUCUGGACUGAAACUUGACGCUGAGGCUCGAAAGCGUGGGGAGCAAACA
rnacentral:rRNA from 1 species